CCGACCUGAUGGUCCUGCGGGGCCCCUCUCACCUGGGAGGACAGAGAUAGCUGUGCUCAAAUGGGAGCUCAGGGGCUGGAGGGGCCCCACACACAGGUUCCUAGACAGCAGUGGCAAGGAGGUGGCUGCCCGGGAAGAGCUGGUGCUUACACAGGAUCCUGGUGGCUAUCUCCCUGCCACCACUUACCUUUGGGUCCUGGGAUGCCCACCUCUCCUUUCUGCCCAGGGGGCCCUGGAAUGGCUCCGUAAGCUGCAGGGGGAGAAGACUGGCCUCAGACAAGGGAUCAUUGGAACUGGGAGGUAGAGGGGUUUGUUCAGAGAAACACAGGAAGGGAGUGGCAGAGUCAGGACCCAAAGAAGACAGAGUUCAGAAUUUAUCAGAUUUUCAGCCUCUCAAGUGUUAAUAACCGGAAGUUUUUUUGGGAGUCUGGUUUCUCCCCCGUGAGACCGGGCAGCAAGGUGUCAGGAAAACGAUCACGGAGGUGCUCUUACUUCGGAAAAAGUCCAUGAGGUCCUCGGUCACGUUGCUGUAGGCAGAGAAGACCUUACUGAUGCCAGGGGGGCCCUGGGGCCCUGGCUGGCCUGGGGGGCCCUGGACGGUGUAGGCCAUCCCUUGCAGCAGGCCCUGACCUAUGUGGGAAGCACCAGAGUGUGGGCACAGGCAGCAGGAGAACAGAGCCCCAGGAUUGCCAAUUCCCAUGCCAUUAUAACCUAGAUGAAGUGGCAGCAAGGGAGAAGCCCCGCUGGCCACUAACUCGCCCAGGCCUCUGCUGCCACGGCCUGUCAUUAGAGGCUUGCUGACGCCAAAGCUGUGCUGAUGAGCUACAGGCAGAGAAGACUUCUUAACCAAGGGCCUGCCCUCAGCCCCAGAACCCAUGGUUGUCAUAAAGACUUCUGAGACACACCACUAGUUAGCUAGGGAAGCAAAGUCCAAGGACCCCAACAAGCCCUGUUCCCUGCAGUAUGGGUCCGCCCUGCCUGGCGCUCCUGAACUAAGCUGGUUGUGAGUGGAGUCUGGGCCUCUUGCCUUCAGUCCCUGCCCAUCUGAUUCUACAAGUGCUGUCCCAGAGCCUGGGCAUGCCGAAAAUGAGAGGGUGAGUUUCUGGACCCUAUAAUUUGAGCUGCUCACGGGCUCCCCCACCUCCAACCUCCCCACAGCACCGAGGCCCAAGGGUCACGACUCACGCUGCAAACUCUCAGACACCCGAACGGCCAGCUCGUUGUAGUCCAGACCUCCGGCAAAGCCAGCCCCAAGUGGUCCACCUUCACCACCAUACAUGCCACCUUCUGCUGCUCCCCCAUAGCCUCGGCCCAGGCCCAUGUCCAGGCCAAAGGCCCCUGCUUCGCCGAGGGAGCCUCCACUGGCUCCUCCUAUGCCCAUGGAAGAGCUGUAGGAGGAUCCCCGGCUGACGGACGCGCUGUGAGAGGAGGACCUGCUGUCCCGGCUGUAGGAGCCAUCCAUGGACACUAGACGGCUGUCCCCAGGCGGCCCCUGUGGCCCUGGAGGCCCUGGCGGGCCCACGAUGAAGCUCCGCACAUCUGGGCCUGCAGGAAGGAGGCCACAUUAGUUGGGGCUUAGGUGUGGGGGUGGAGAGGAAGGGAAUUAAGAGGCCUCUCCCAGGGUCUCGAGGCACUCGCGCAGGAGCAGGAGGGCUGGCGAGGGAAGAACCGGCUCUCCUGCCUUAUAGGGCUCAGGCAUUUGGCCUCCCAGGUUCCUUCCAGCCUCAGCUGCCCUCUUGCAGGGAGGAGCAAGGUCUGGGGAGGGGCACCUACUUGUGAGGUAGCUGAUCAGCUCACUCCGGAAGCUGUCGCUGUUUUCUGCUGCGUAGGUUGCCAGAGCUCCUGAGACGCCUGGAGGCCCUCGAGGACCUGGGGGACCAGGAGGGCCUGGGGGGCCAGGGAUGGAUGACACACCUGCAGCUGAAUGGGAGGCAGAGAACGGUCAGGGAUCGCGCCGCUGGGAAAGCAGAAUUCCUAGCUGUGUGCAGGGGUGCAACUCCUCUUGAGGAGGAGGGGAUCCUGGGGGCCCAGCUCUGGCAUCACCCUGGAGCCACUGCUUAGACCUGCCCUCCCCACUCCCAGUUUGGGGUCUCACUCAGUCCAAAGCAUAUCCCCUUGUCUGCACCCUCCUGCCACAUGACCACACGCUGUUCAUGAGUCCUCUAAGGGCUGUACUUGGGAGCAUGUCUCUCCCAACUAGUCUUCCUGUCAUGGCUGAAAGCACCUCAAAAGCAAAGGGGUUCCUUGUCUGUGCUUCAGGAGGACUGGGUGACUGGUCCAAUAGUUUAACUCUCCAUGGCUGCCCUCCCUGCGCCUUACUGUGCAGGUAAGAAGAGAGGUCUUCCACGCUGAUGCUGGACCACGCGUUGCCUGGGAUCCCUGGGGGCCCAGGGGGACCUGGGGGCCCAAUGAUGCCUCUGUAUUCAGACCCUGAGACAUCAAAGAAGGGCACAGAGUCAGUGGGGGGUCUGGGCCAGGGGCCGUCUGCCUCCUACCACAAGCUCCUGACCAGCCUUACCCUGGAGCAAGGAGAGCAGCUCCUCGUAGGAUGUUCCUGGGAGGCCAGGGGGUCCUGGGGGGCCAGGCAGCCCAAUGCUGAUUCCAGAACCUGAGGAACAAAACCUCAGGUUGUGAUAGAUUCAGAUUGCACAUGUGUAUGCGAAUUGUGUGUGAACCCCAUAGAGGACAGUGCCCCAGACGCUCCUGGCUUCCCCAGCCAGGCUCGGGGACCUGCCCUGGGCCACAGAUGUGAAGGGCUCUGAAAACAGCGCGCUCCCUCUGGGGCCACAUGACGGGGGAGCAUCGGGGGCCAGUGCAGGGAAGUUCAGCACCCACACCCUCUGGGGCCCCGCUGACCAUCUGCCUGCAGUGGGCAGGCCAGGAGGGCGGACACUCACUGGACAUGUAGCUGAGAAUGCGACUGCUCAGCUCGGCGUAGUCCAAAGACUGGAGCGACCAAUCUCCAAUCACAUACUGACGCAGAUACUGCCUCACAUCAUCUCCUGCAAGGACAGGAAGCGCUGGCGUGGGCCCACCCAGGCCACAGGGCUCCCGGGCCACCGCGCGGCCACAGCCAGGUCUGCCCCUGAGUUCCGGGUUCUCCGUCCACAGGGGGAGUCAGCAAGCCUCCAGGUCCCCGACCAGGCACCUGCCCAGUUCCUGGCGCUGGGGACGGGGAGAUGUGCUGGAGAUUCCAGCCGGUAGGGACUCACUGGCCGCUGGGAACGAGGACGAGGGCCUCCUCACUAGCCCUCAGCAGCUCGGGUAGGGGCAGGCCGAGCCCCCAGGGCUCCCACCCGCAGGCCCGCCGUAGGUACUCACGCUGCAGCGCAGCCACAAUGUCCUCCGUAGAGAUGGAGACGGAGGAGCCGAUGCUGUACCCUGAGGCUGUCGGGAAAGAACCUCGAGUUACCUGCUUAGCAAGACUAAGGCAGCAACGCCCUCACUGCUGCAGAACCACCAGGACUGGCCAGCUAGCUGCUCCAUUUGUGGAAAUGAAUGAAUGGGGGAUUGGGAGGCUGUUGUGAACGCAUGAAAAAAACUCGAAGGUGGUUUUGUUUUUGCAUUUGUUUGGUAAGACACGCCGUUUUCCAGAGUAUGCUUUAGCCUAACUCCUGCUAAGAUCCUGCCCACCUUGUUGCCUUUCCACAUCUUAGGACACAUCUGUCAAGCGCAAGAAGGCUCAUUACUCGUGGCUCCGCGGUGUGGCCUCUUCCUAAUCUGAGCAACCCCUUCUUGAAGCUAAUCCCAGUGGCCUGACAGCCAUGAAUUCAGACCUGAACUUCACAUCCAGAAGGAGAUGACCUGCAGCACUUGAUGAGAUGCCUUCCCCACCACAGUCAUGGGCCAAAGCAGGGCCAGCAGGGAGCCCAGACUCCUGGUUACAGAUAGAGAAGCUGAGGACCAGCCUGUGUGGUAGCCGUGAGAAGGUGGGUGUUCGGGGAGUGCAUGGACAUGCAGUCCUGGCUCCAGGGUCAGACUUCUGACCUAGGCCUGGGCCUAUAGACUGCUACCCCCUGCCACACACACACCCCUCUGGCCCCGCUCGCCGCCUCCGGCUCCCACCCACUCCCAGAGCCUCCCCCACCUCCCCGCACUGGUACAGGCAACGGGAUCUGUCAUGUUUAUUUACAUAAGGAGGAGGGGACUGGAGGCUUCCUGAAAUAGCCGAGCUCCAGAAAGCACUGGAGAUGCCCCAGCAGUGUGCGCACGCGCGCGCACACACACGCACACACUCAGGCCCCAGGCACUCACUCUGCAGGUAUUCAGAGAUGUACUGCUGGAUCUCCCGGCCAGAGCUGCUGAUGGAGCCCGGAGGCCCCGGUGGGCCUGGAGGGCCUGGUGGACCUGGCAUGAACAUGGUGCUCGACGAUGACCCCCCUGCAGGAAGGAAAGCUUUCUAAGUCCGACACCCUAGGGUCAAAGAAGGGCCCAGAGACUGCUUCCACAGCCUGAGGAGGGAAGGUCGUUCUUAGUGGAAGAAAUAAGAUAGUGGCAAAGAGGAGGGUCUCUCCAUAGGGAGAAGGGAGUGAGUGCUUGUAGCGAGCACUGUCCGAAAGGGGCACAGAGUCGAGCCUGCCCAGGCCAGACCCUCCCUUCAGCAAUCUGCUCAGCACCCCAGAGGCUCCCUCACCUCUGAACACCUGGCUCCCAGGUCUGUCCUGUGUCAUCUGGCAUCGUUAGCCACCUGUACUGUACCAGUCCUUCCCUCGCACCCCUACCAACUUAAAGGGCUCACAGGCUUAGCACAUCACUGAACCGUGGGUAGGUGGGUGGGUGGGUUGAUGAAUGAAUCGGAAUCCUUGCUUGAAUUAGGGGAGAACUUUGUCACCUUUGGCUCUUACCUUGAGAGAGUCUGCCAGGCAUGCCAGGGACCCCAGGAUCACCUGGAAUCCAAAACCAGAAGCCCUGUUUGCAUCACCUCCUCCAGGAAUCCUUCCGUGGUUAGGCCCAACCACGUUCAUCAGCAUGUGACUCAACAGCUACCCCACGUGUCUCAGUUUCUGCGGUGCUACGGCAGCUCCCUUCAGGUAGAGGCUGUGCUCACGUCCUCAUCCCACUUGCCCUCCAGCCUCUCCUUCCUCCCAAGCCUUUAGCACCAGUAGGUACCCACUAGCUUCUGUUCAGACUCUGGGAGCCAUUCUUGCCUUCAUGCCUCACUGCCUUCCUGGCUGCUCCCCUCACUGACCUUUGUCACCCUUGGGUCCCCGGGGGCCAGGUGGUCCUUGCAGGUUGAGUCCAAGAGAACUGGAGCCUGGUAAGCAACAACACACGGUGCAGUCAGCCAGGGCUGAGGGGCUCUGGCCAGAGCCAGCAACGGGCCAGGGGCUUAGCACUCACCGGAGCCUGAGAAUCCUGGGGGGCCUUGCUCGCCUGGGGACACACCGAGAGGGGUCAGUCAGUGGUGCGCUCCUCCUCCCCAGGCCCAGCCCUGACCCCACCUUCCCUCCUCCCAAAAGGCUCUCCAACACUCAUGAUGCUGAGGCUGCACUCCCUUUGGGCAGCGCUAGAGCUGCCACAGGCCCAUGCGCGCAAACACACACACACUCCCGACUAUUCACAGACACCCACCCUGAUCUACCUGCACUCAUUUGGACAAAACUCAUUUACAGGAAGCUCAAGGCUCUCGGAAGGUCAGCUUUUGCCACCCCCAACCCCCACUGCCACCCCACAUCUUGUUUGGUGCCAGCUUUACUGUACCUUGGUGUCCUCGAGGGCCUGGGGGGCCUGAGGGAAGGAGGCAGACAGUCGUGAGAUGCGUGCCCACCGGGUGCUAUGGCUUCAAGGGGCCCGUAGGGGAAGGGACAGGGCCCCUGUGCUGGAGCAAACACAGGGCCCGAGGUUCCUCACACCUCUCCUCCCGGCAGGCCAGCGCAGAGGCGGCGAUGUGUUGUAGAGCUUCUAGCCACCAUGCCCCCCACCCCACGUUCCAGACUGCCGAGCUCCUGGUGGGAUGUGGCAGGAGGAUGCAUAAAUGCCCCAGUGUAUCCAGCCCCAUCCGACUCUCCUGGCCACCUUGAGCAAGGAGGCUUCUGCGUCCCAAGACGCUACUCACCUUGGUCUCCCUUGGGGCCUGGGGGGCCAGGGGGCCCUGGGGGACCGGAGAAGUAGGUCUCUGCAGAGGAAAAAGAGUGUGGGCACAGAGGUAUUUGUGAGAGAGGAGCACCUACCGUGGAGCCUGGCACACGGCACAUGCUCAGUCCACACCUUUCAGACAGGUGGGUGGGUGGAUGGAUGGAUGGAUGGAUGGAUAGAUAGAAAAAUAAGUGAAAGAAAAAACUAACAAAUGGAUGGAUGGAUAAAUAGAUGAGUGGGUACAUUUUCCAUGAGGGACAAGUUCUAGGCUAAUAUUUGCUCUAAAGUUAUUUCCAUGUGUUUCCGUGUUGUUCUGUCAACAUUUAUCUCCUUUCAAUGUGUAUCCUGCCUACUUAUCAGACUUGGGCUUCCCAAGGACAGAAACCAGGUCCCCAGUCACAAAUGAGUCUGUCCAGAAGCUCCCCAAGGGCAGAACUCGCUCCCUCCCUCUGACCAGCUUAGCUGCGGGGGCGGGGCGGGGGGCUGGUCUGGCUUCCUGUUCUCCCUGCAGAACUCCCGUUCUACAGAGUUCAUGCAAACACACCCUAGUGGCAGGUCUGAGGAGGAAGCCUGACGAGCGGGUCAGGAAGGCCAUAUGCUUAUGACCACAGCAGGUCCAGGGACUGGGGCUGAGGUGGACAACAGGUGGGACUUGACUCUGUAACAUUACCUGAGUUGCUCAGCAAAGAUCCCGGAGGGCCCGGCGGGCCCGGCCGGCCUUCUCCUAGAAAAAGAACCACCAAGACUUUGUAAAGCCAGGCUACGGGCCAAGAACCCUGUGCUGGGGAGAAGUGGCAGGUAAGCUCUUCCCGAGAGCCAGGCCCAGGCUCUGGGUGCCAAUGCUCUCGUAUCUCUUGCCGGGGAGCUCGGCCUUCACCUGUGGGGCCUCAGGGUCCUGGCGGACCCGAAAUGGAAGGUCUUGCAGAAGAGAGCAAGCAAGAGGCCACGCUGAACUCAGGGAGUGCAUCUCGGCUUCCUCACAAUCCCCCACCUUCCAAUGAUCCCUGAGAUGCUUACCUGGAGGCCCUGGUGGUCCAGGUGGGCCUGGGGGACCCCGUAAGUCAACACCUUCUGUGGAGAGAAAAAACAGAAAUGAGUAAAAACUCACAUCAGGCUGUUCUCUGCCAGCCUCAGCCGUCAUGAGGAUCCUCAGGGCCAGGCACCCCGGGGCUACACUCACACCUCAGAGGCCAGCUCUGCUAGGGUGCUCCUCACUCACAAGUGGGGCGGGGCAGGGCUCCAGGCACACUCCCCGGUAGCUGAUGUGGGCACACGGCAGUGGGGGGGGGGCGGCUAAGUACAUGGUGUUGGUGUCAGAUAGCCUACGUUCAAAAUCCUGCUCUGCUUCCAGCUGCUGACUUUGGGCAAGUCCUUGAUCCCUUUCGGCCUUGCUUGCUCUUCUCUAAACCAGAGGCCUAAAACCCACGUCACAGCACGUUGUGCAGACCCAGGGAAGUACUGCGACAUGUGUCUAGCACACAGUGACGGCCGGACAAAGCUGGCGUGGUCUUUGCUACUCGGGCCUCUAAGAAGGAGGCCCGGUGGCAGGUCUGCAUGGGUUCUUUAAAGGACCCUGGGAACAGAAGAACCCAGAACUCACCCUGCAGGUGGGGUCUGUGGCUGAGAACCCAUAGACCCUUGUCACUGUACCAAGUGGGGGAUGCAGUACUCCUGCCAGCCAUCAUCCCAGUGCCCAGCUCACUACAGAGGCCCCACUUGACUCUGGUCCCCCUAGAAUCCCGAGAACCUCUGACAGCUGCCCCAUCCAGUGACUCAUCCCCCAGAGUUGACAAAAGCCCUGCUGUUCCUUCCAGGCUAGCAUUGCCUUUCAGAGGAACUCGUCAUCCUCGUUCACACUGGAGCUCAGGAUGACGCACUGGUACAGCUGCUACAGGCCCCGUCUGUCCUGCUCCCACCCUGGUGUCCCCUCACCCCAGACAACACGGGGGCACUCACGGGUAGAGAGGAGCUCAGAGAUGGAGCUGCUGCUGCCCAUGAACGAUUCGCCAGCAAGUCCUCGCUCGCCGCGUGGGCCUGUGUAAAAGACACACUUCAGCCCAAGAGGAAAUGGACCAACUUUUCCUAAGCCUGUUUUUUGGUGUUUGGAUAGAUGGCUGCACAAGUAUCAGGUCACAGAGAGAGAGAGAGAGAGAGGCAGAGACACAGGCAGAGGGAGAAGCAGGCUCCAUGCACCAGGAGCCCGACGUGGGAUUCGAUCCCGGGUCUCCAGGAUCGCGCCCUGGGCCAAAGGCAGGCGCCAAACCGCUGCGCCACCCAGGGAUCCCGCAACCUGCGCUUCUAAAUGACGGCUGGAAGUCGGUGUGAUUUUGUAGCGAUCUCAUUGCGGUUUGGACAAUGUGGAGAUGGUUUCUCCAAAUAGAUUCCUAGCAUUUUUGUUGCCCUUAAUGCAUUUUAUUAAA